rnacentral:lncRNA from 1 species
GUGGUUACAACUUGACCUGGUCAGCACAGCAUCUUAAUUCAAAUACACAAAAAGGAAGCAUAACCUAUUUGUGUCAUUUUGGUCUCUUGUGGACAGUUGUCUCAUUGGCAAUCAUACCACAUCUUCUUUUUUUUUAUACAAACAUGUACAUCAUGUACAUAUAAUGUGCUACAUAUGUAGACAAUUUUUCAUAUUUGCAUUCUCAAAGAAAGUGACUUAAAACCCACUCAUAAAGGUCCUUAUAGAAUUUUAAACUUGUG